rnacentral:rRNA from 1 species
GACGAACGCUGGCGGCGUGCUUAACACAUGCAAGUCGAACGGAAAGGCCCCUUUGGGGGUCCUCGAGUGGCGCACGGGUGAGUAACACGUGAGUAACCUGCCCUUGACUUCGGGAUAACUUCAGGAAACUGGGGCUAAUACCGGAUAGGAAUCCUUGCUGCAUGGUGGGGGUUGGAAAGCUUCGGCGGUUUUGGAUGGACUCGCGGCUUAUCAGCUUGUUGGUGGGGUAGUGGCUUACCAAGGCUUUGACGGGUAGCCGGCCUGAGAGGGCGACCGGCCACAUUGGGACUGAGAGACGGCCCAGACUCCUACGGGAGGCAGCAGUGGGGAAUAUUGCACAAUGGGCGGAAGCCUGAUGCAGCAACGCCGCGUGCGGGAUGACGGCCUUCGGGUUGUAAACCGCUUUCAGCAGGGGCGAAGCUUGUGGUGACGGUACCUGCAGAAGAAGCACCGGCUAACUACGUG